rnacentral:rRNA from 1 species
GACAGAGGUGCCGAGCGUUAGGCGGAAUCACUGGGCUUAAAGCGUGUGUAGGCGGGUCCGUAAGUAACUUGUGAAAUCCCACGGCUCAACCGUGGAACUGCUUGGUAUACUGCUCGUCUUGAGCCAAUCAGGGGCGAGCGGAACAGACGGUGGAGCGGUGAAAUGCGUAGAUAUCUGGAAGAACACCAAAGGCGAAGGCAGUGUCCUGGGUGGUCGCUGACGCUGAGAGGCGAAAGCCAGGGGAGCGAACGGG